rnacentral:rRNA from 1 species
CCUACGGGUGGCUGCAGGGGGGAAUAUUGGACAAUGGGGGCAACCCUGAUCCAGCCAUGCCGCGUGUGUGAAGAAGGCCCUCGGGUUGUAAAGCACUUUCAGUGAGGAAGAACGCCUGGUGGUUAAUACCCAUCAGGAAAGACAUCACUCACAGAAGAAGCACCGGCUAACUCCGUGCCAGCAGCCGCGGUAAUACGGAGGGUGCGAGCGUUAAUCGGAAUUACUGGGCGUACAGCGCGCGUAGGUGGCUUGAUAAGCCGGUUGUGAAAGCCCCGGGCUCAACCUGGGAACGGCAUCCGGAACUGUCAAGCUAGAGUGCAGGAGAGGAAGGUAGAAUUCCCGGUGUAGCGGUGAAAUGCGUAGAGAUCGGGAGGAAUACCAGUGGCGAAGGCGGCCUUCUGGACUGACACUGACACUGAGGUGCGAAAGCGUGGGUAGCAAACAGGAUUAGAUACCCCAGUAGUC